rnacentral:rRNA from 1 species
GACGAACGCUGGCGGCGUGCUUAACACAUGCAAGUCGAACGGAAAGGCCCUGCUUUUGUGGGGUGCUCGAGUGGCGAACGGGUGAGUAACACGUGGGUAACCUGCCCUUGACUUUGGGAUAACUUCAGGAAACUGGGGCUAAUACCGGAUAGGAGCUCCUGCUGCAUGGUGGGGGUUGGAAAGUUUCGGCGGUUGGGGAUGGACUCGCGGCUUAUCAGCUUGUUGGUGGGGUAGUGGCUUACCAAGGCUUUGACGGGUAGCCGGCCUGAGAGGGUGACCGGCCACAUUGGGACUGAGAUACGGCCCAGACUCCUACGGUAGGCAGCAGUGGGGAAGAUUGCACAAUGGGCGGAAGCCUGAUGCAGCAACGCCGCGUGCGGGAUGACGGCCUUCGGGUUGUAAACCACUUUCGCCUGUGACGAAGCGUGAGUGACGGUAAUGGGUAAAGAAGCACCGGCUAACUACGUG